CCGUCCCAUAUGAAAAGAUUAUAUUAGAAUUGAAUGAAGCUUCUGUUUAUAUAUUGAUAAUGACAGUAUAUAUAUCGUGUCUUGACUAAUUGCGUGCCAGCAGUCGCGGUAAUACGUAAGAGACUAGUGUUAUUCAUCUUAAUUAGGUUUAAAGGGUACCCAGACGGUCAAUAUAGCUUAUAUAAAUGUUAGUACUUGACUAGAGUUUUAUGUAAGAGGGCAGUACUUGAGGAGGAGAGAUGAAAUUUCGUGAUACCAAAGGGACUCUGUAAAGGCGAAGGCAGCCCUCUAUGUAAAAACUGACGUUGAAGGACGAAGGCACUAGAGAACAAACAGGAUUAGAUACCCAAGUAGUCUUUGCAGUAAAUGAUGAAUGCCAUAGGUUAGAUGGGUGGGCUCGUCUAGUUGAGUUAGUUUAGCAAACUAAUGAUCUAGACGAGCCCACCGUAUAUUUGGUCUAUAAAUGAAAGUGUAAGCAUUUCACCUCAAGAGUAAUGUGGCAACGCAGGAACUGAAAUCACUAGCACCGU
rnacentral:rRNA from 1 species